rnacentral:rRNA from 1 species
AGUGAACGCUGGCGGUAGGCCUAACACAUGCAAGUCGAACGGCAGCACAGUAAGAGCUUGCUCUUACGGGUGGCGAGUGGCGGACGGGUGAGGAAUACAUCGGAAUCUACUUUUUCGUGGGGGAUAACGUAGGGAAACUUACGCUAAUACCGCAUACGACCUACGGGUGAAAGCAGGGGAUCUUCGGACCUUGCGCGACUGAAUUAGCCGAUGUCGGAUUAGCUAGUUGGCGGGGUAAAGGCCCACCAAGGCGACGAUCCGUAGCUGGUCUGAGAGGAUGAUCAGCCACACUGGAACUGAGACACGGUCCAGACUCCUACGGGAGGCAGCAGUGGGGAAUAUUGGACAAUGGGCGAAAGCCUGAUCCAGCCAUACCGCGUGGGUGAAGAAGGCCUUCGGGUUGUAAAGCCCUUUUGUUGGGAAAGAAAAGCAGCAGGUUAAUACCCCGCUGUUCUGACGGUACCCAAAGAAUAAGCACCGGCUAACUUCGUG